AUUGAACGCUGGCGGCAGGCCUAACACAUGCAAGUCGAGCGGAGCGGCGGACGGGGGAGGAAUGCCUAGGUAUCUGCCUGGUAGUGGGGGAUAACGUCAGGAAACGGGCGCUGAUACUGCUUCCUAUCAGCAUCGCCUAGGUCGGGUUAGCUAGUUGGUGGGGUAAAGGCCUACCAAGGCGACGAUCCGUAACUGGUCUGAGAGGAUGAUGAGGCAACCUGGAACUGAGACACGGUCCAGACUCCUACGGGAGGCAGCAGUGGGGAAUAUUGGACAAUGGGCGAAAGCCUGAUCCAGCCAUGCCGCGUGUGUGAAGAAGGUCUUCGGAUUGUAAAGCACUUUAAGUUGGGAGGCGUUACCAACAGAAUAAGCACCGGCUAACUUCGUGCCAGCAGCCGCGGUAAUAC
rnacentral:rRNA from 1 species